UAAGAUGAUGAAUCUGGAGCCCCCUGAUCGGUGAUGAUCAGUCUGCGGAGCUGAUAA
rnacentral:snoRNA from 1 species